ensembl:misc_RNA 7SK 7SK RNA
AGGUGUGAGGAUGACUUACUUGUGGCCUUUCUCUCUGUGUGUUGGCAGGGACCGAUGCAACCUAUCUGGCUGGCUAGGCAGGCAGCCCCUUCCUUCCUCACCUGAAGCUUUGUGCUCAAAGAGGUCAUUCUCCUUCUCAAAUAAACAAGGACCAUCUUUCGGACUUGAGUAUGUGGGAAAUUGUGCUCCUCUACUAAUCCUUCUGAAUGAUCCCUCGAGGUCCAAGAAGAAACUUGCAGGGUGUUUGUGAGGGUUAGAUGACAUCACAGAUAUAAAACACUCUGUAAACCCUAAGGGUUUCUUCCAUUUGGUU